CAUGGAUGUGUGCAGAGAGAGGGCGAGGGACAGGGAGAGAUGGAGAGCCAGAACAAUGGCUUCAGGAAAGGCAGGAAAAUGCAAAGUCAGUGGCCCCACAGACCACCGCUUGGCACCUCUGGGCGGGAUGGGAAAGCUGAUAUCUCUUGUUCGACAAAACGCCCUGCAGCCCAACGCCCGGUAAACACGCUCUGAAUUCUGCAGACUAAUGGCUUAUAGAACCACCAUCUCUCCCCCCUCCCGCUGGGCUGAGCUGAGGCACAGCCAUGCUCAAUAUGUCUAAUUAGCUAUUAGCUCUUUCAAUUAUUUCAUUCUCCCUGAAAGUUGCCGAUUUUUUUAUCAAGCCCCACCCUCGGGAUUGUUUGUUACUUUGGGCGGGGGGGGGGGAAGGGGAGGUAGAUGUAAUUAUUCUCUCAGCAUGCGGACGUACCGAGGCAUCGAUUGUUCACACAGCAAAACAAUAUCUGUAAAUCACACGUGGGCGGGGGCUGGCGACAGGGUCCUCUGGGAGGGGGGCUGAGUUAUGACAGGGGGGCGCGAGAGGAUCCACUCUGAUGGAAUUUGGUCUGGAUUAACGGCCGGUAAUGACAGGAAUACGGAGGGGAGCGCGGGAAGGCUGCGAGUAAAGACGUGUGUGUGUGUGUGUGUGCGUACGUGCGUGUUUGUGUGUGCGUGCAUGCGUGUGUUUGGCGGGGGUGCGUUGAAAGUGGCUCUCACCGGGAACUCUGAUGCUGUUUUUGACGACUGCGUUCACUGGCUCUGUGUGUGUGUGUGUGUGUGUGUGUGUGUGUGUGUGUGUGUGUGUGUGUGUGUGUGUGUGUGUGUGUGUGUGUGUGCGCGCAAUCCAUCGACUGGAGUGACCUGGGCUAUCAGACGGGAGACAGAUGUCUCGGCAUCUGGAGAGACGCGACUGGUUUGAGUGGAUUGAUAGUCAGCCAAUGAGCAAGGGGACACUCGAGGUCCCUGUGCCCGCCCCUUCGUUCCCAUUGGACUGAUUGGAAGGCUGGAGGCCUUGUGAUAAGGAGGGCAGCUCUGUCAUAGGGGGGCGGGCCUUGGAAACAAACAACCCACACCACCUCAACUGUUGACCCAACUGGUGUUGUUUACGGACUGACUCAAAACACAUGUUGACACACGCACACACACAUGCAGGCACAUACUUAGAAACACAAAAAUACACUCAGAAACACACACACACACACAAACAAGGACACACAUGAUGACACACACACACACACAUGCAUACACGCACUCAGAAACCACACACAUACAUACUCAGGAACACACACAUAAACACACACAUACACUCAUACAAACACACACACACACGGAGGUACAAAUGCAAGGACAGACAUAAGACACACGCAUACAAACUAACGCCACAAACACACGCAUGCGCACACACACACACACACACACACUUACCGGGUCGGAACUUCCUUCCUUCCUGUAAAUGUUGGCUGGCAUCAGAGGGUGUCACGGAGUCCCGACAUGAGACUCGUUUUCACAACAGCCAGCUUCCGGGAACGUCUGUCCGGGAACGUGUCACUAAUGAGAGGGGAUGUUCGGCGGAGCGUCGCACGACAACAAGAGUUCCGGUAACCAUAGCCCUGGAACCGGGUUGUUGACAGAACGGUAGCGUGACAGAGUUGGCAGGCUGAGGCUGAGGACACACUUAGGAUGUUGAGGUCCUGGCUUAGGAUGGAUGGAGCAGCCACUGAUGGAUGUGGAUGGAGGGGAGGUUGAUGGAUGGAUGAAGGGAUGGAGGGAUGGGUGAAUGGAUGAUGGAGGAUGGAUGGAUGAUGGAGGCAUGUGGGAUGAUGGGUAGAGGGGUACAAAAAGACAGACAGAGAGAGAGAGAGGAGUGAUUGACUGCAGGGCGGUAGAGAAAUUUGAAAAUGUGAGCUAUGUAACGGGGAGUUGUUUUUCUCAAAACUGCCAAAGCAAAGUUGUAAACGAUUAAGAAUGCUAACUGAUCGCACACAAAUAAAUUGAAUAUCGAUGAUACUUUGAAUGAUUUGAAAAGUCGAUGAUUUUGUGAAGAGGUAAAUCUGUAUGCAUUUUGUAAAAAAAAAAAAAGAAGGGAUUUCUUUGAGAUUUUCUGAAAGCGC
ensembl:lncRNA